rnacentral:lncRNA from 1 species
AGGAACUUCCACUGCAAAAAUUUCAAUUUGUACAUUAGGGACUGCCAAUUGACAGAGUAUGCAUGAUCUUUCUCCUAACUUUGGAGACCAAAAUGUGCCCGGUAGUAAAUGGGAAGCCCCUGACGCCAAAAGUUUGAUUUCGAAGUAAUCAUCAAACUUGAUUAAGACUAAUUAAUGAAGAUUGACUAGAACCAAUUUGACACACUGGUCUCAUAAGUGAAUCAAAUGAUUUCGGGUAUAAUGCUUCCUUUCCACACCCACUCACCAUUGAAAAAUCUGACGUUUCUAAGUCUUUUGUUGUUGAUCUCCCAAGUUUUCCCUCCCAACUGCCAAUUUAUUAUAUCUCAGUUAUAGUACUUAUAGAAGAACUUGGAGUGUCAGCACCAGAAGAACUGCUUGAAAACCUUUGGGUCGUAACAGAAAAAUAGAGGUUUUCAGUGAAGAGUGCCCCUAUAUUGCAGAUAAUUUAGACCUGUUACGAAAUACCCUUUUGUUAUUAUCUCAAAAACAAAGUUUGGAUUUGAGUUGUUCCAUAACAUUUUCAAAAAUAAUAAUAAUAAUAAUAAUAAUAACUAAUGUAUUUUUGCCAUUGACUAACUGCCCGACUGGUGAGAGCUUAGAAUGAGAUUGUAGAUAUUAUAGAGGUCGUCACUUAUCAGUACUAUUUGCAACAUAAUUACACGAGAAUUCGUUUUAGUUUUACUAUCAGCUGCUGGAAAAAUCGAUAUGAGGUGUUUUAAAUGUACUGGCUAGUAAUAUCCAGUUGAUAACUCUGAUUGUUGAUGCCGAAAUAUCUUAUACUUUAGUUUUGACUUUUGAAUUAUCUUCAGUUUUAUAAUCAGACGUGCAGGCAUAUUGAAUUGAACCAUGGUUACCCUGAGAAAAAGAAAGAUUUACCUGUGGCAUGCAGAUUGGUCAAGUCUUAUACUUGAGGUAAUCUCAGAGAAAUUACCUGUGACUGACUAUUCAUCUUUCGUUAAAGUUAGCAAAUAAUGGAGAGAAUUUUCAAUAGAUUCUCUGCGUUACAAGCCAUCAUCGUGGGGAAUUCCUCGGCUUUUGAUGUCAGGCCAAGCUUCUACCAAAACCAGAACUGGCUUUAGCAUAUUUGAAAACAAGAUACGUUUCUUGGAAAUCACCCAGGCUUUUGGAGGAUGCUUAAGGGGAUCUUUUGACGAGUGAUUGAUAAUUGUGAGGCCUGAUUGGACAAUUUUGG